rnacentral:rRNA from 1 species
AUUGAACGCUGGCGGCAGGCUUAACACAUGCAAGUCGAGCGGAGAUGAGGUGCUUGCACCUUAUCUUAGCGGCGGACGGGUGAGUAAUGCUUAGGAAUCUGCCUAUUAGUGGGGGACAACAUUCCGAAAGGAAUGCUAAUACCGCAUACGUCCUACGGGAGUAAGCAGGGGAUCUUCGGACCUUGCGCUAAUAGAUGAGCCUAAGUCGGAUUAGCUAGUUGGUGGGGUAAAGGCCUACUAAGGCGACGAUCUGUAGCGGGUCUGAGAGGAUGAUCCGCCACACUGGGACUGAGACACGGCCCAGACUCCUACGGGAGGCAGCAGUGGGGAAUAUUGGACAAUGGGGGGAACCCCGAUCCAGCCAUGCCGCGUGUGUGAAGAAGGCCUUAUGGUUGUAAAGCACUUUAAGCGAGGAGGAGGCUACUGAGACUAAUACUCUUGGACAGUGGACGUUACUCGCAGAAUAAGCACCGGCUAACUCUGUGCCAGCCGCCGCAGUAACAC